rnacentral:rRNA from 1 species
GAAGACCAAGGGUUCCUGUCCAACGUUAAUCGGGGCAGGGUAAGUCGACCCCUAAGGCGAGGCCGAAAGGCGUAGUCGAUGGGAAACGGGUUAAUAUUCCCGUACUUCUUACAAUUGCGAUGGGGGGACGGAGAAGGCUAGGUGGGCCUGGCGACGGUUGUCCAGGUUCAAGUGCGUAGGCUUAAGAGUUAGGUAAAUCCGGCUCUUUUUAAGGCUGAGACACGACGUCGAGCACCUACGGGUGUGAAGUCAUUGAUGCCAUGCUUCCAGGAAAAGCCUCUAAGCUUCAGAUUGUAAGGAAUCGUACCCCAAACCGACACAGGUGGUCGGGU